GACGAACGCUGGAGGCGUGCUUAACACAUGCAAGUCGAACGAUGAAAUGGAGCUUGCUCCAUGGAUUAGUGGCGAACGGGUGAGUAACACGUGAAUAACCUGCCCUUAAUUUUGGAAUAACCCAGGGAAACCUGGGCUAAUACCGGAUAAGUAAACCUGUGGCAUCACAUGGUUUUGGAAAGUUUUUCGAUUAAGGAUGGAUUCGCGGCCUAUCAGCUUGUUGGUGAGGUAAUGGCUCACCAAGGCGACGACGGGUAGCCGGCCUGAGAGGGUGAACGGCCACGCUGGGACUGAGACACGGCCCAGACUCCUACGGGAGGCAGCAGUGGGGAAUAUCGCGCAAUGGACGAAAGUCUGACGCAGCGACGCCUCGUGAGGGACGUAGGUCUUCGGAUUGUAAACCUCUUUCAGCAGGGACGAAGCGAAAGUGACGGUACCUGCAGAAGAAGCACCGGCUAACUAUGUGCCAGCCGCCGCGGUAAAAC
rnacentral:rRNA from 1 species